AUUGAACGCUGGCGGCAGGCCUAACACAUGCAAGUCGAACGAGUGGCGGACGGGUGAGUAAUGUCUGGGAAACUGCCUGAUGGAGGGGGAUAACUACUGGAAACGGUAGCUAAUACCGCAUACCAUCGGAUGUGCCCAGAUGGGAUUAGCUAGUAGGGGGGGUAACGGCUUACCAAGGCGACGAUCCCUAGCUGGUCUGAGAGGAUGACCAGCCACCCUGGAACUGAGAAACGGUGCAGACUCCCACGGGAGGCAGCAGUGGGGAAUAUUGCACAAUGGGCGCAAGCCUGAUGCAGCCAUGCCGCGUGUAUGAAGAAGGCCUUCGGGUUGUAAAGUACUUUCAGUGGGGAGGCGUUACCCGGAGAAGAAGCACCGGCUAACUACGUGCCAGCAGCCGCGGUAAUUC
rnacentral:rRNA from 1 species